ensembl:lncRNA
AUUAUGAAUUUGUUGCCAAUUUAAUGAAAAUGUAAAACUGAAGUCUCUUAUGUACAUAAGUAUUCAGACCCUUUGUCACUCCAAAUCAAUCUCAGAUGAAUUUUGUGUCCUUUGAUCAUCUUUGGGAUAUAUCUAGAACUUGAUUGGAGUCCACCUACUGCAAAUUCAAUGGAUUGAAAAUAAUUUACAAAAGGGCAUAUUCGCAGGUGCAUGUUAAAGCAUAGACCGAGUCUUAGGAACUCUGCUGCCCUUUUGAGAUAACAUUUUCUAGAGACACAAAUCUUAAAAAUAUUUGCUAAGGAAUUGGAAUUUGCAGGAUGACUGUGGGCUUAAUCAUUGUGAAAUAAAAGUUACCAACAACAAAACUCGUCCUAGAGCUGACUGUUUUGAACAAACUGAGUAACCAGACAAGAAGGGCCAUGAUCAGUGAGGUGAAUAAGAACCUAAUGGCCUGUUUAACAGCGCUUCGUCGUUGCUAUAUGGGAUGGAAGCUAUUUCAUCCCAUAUGACAUGCAGCCGAUUCUCUGGUUUAUUGAGACCCAUUGAGCCUGAAUGUAAAGCGUCUGGCAAAAACAAGGAACUGCGCAUAACCUAAUUAAUAACAUGAAGCAUCGUGGUGGAAGCAUCAUGCAGUGGGAAGGAUUUUAAGUAGCAGGAACCAGGAGAAUUCCUUGAAAACCUGAUUGCAUAGAACCUGAAACUGGGCGAAGAUUCAUCUUUUAGCGCUGCAAUGACCCGAAACACAGAUUAUGCUGUGUGGCCUUGUGACAAGUCUGUCUUUUAGUGACCCAGCCAAAUCCCAGACUUGGAAACCUAUUAAACAUCUAUGGGGAGACCUGAGGUUCGCAGUUCAUUGAUGCUCCCCAUCUGAUCUUACAGAGAUUUAGAGGAUCUGCAAGGACGAAUGGGAGAAACUUCCCAAAUCCACGUGUGCAAAGCUGGUAGAGACAAAACCAAGAAGAAUCGACGCUGUGAUCGCUGCCAAUAGGGCAUCUGAGAAGUACUGAAAAAUGGCUGAAUACCUUCACUAAAAAGAAUUCAAUAAAUUGUCACACAUUUCUAAUGUUUUUCACCUUUGUCAUUAUGGGGUACUGUGUGUAGAUUGAUGGCACAGAAAAUCUGUUCCAUUGUAAAUUCAGUCUAUAACAAAAUGGAGAAAAAAAGGGGUUCUGAAUCCUUUCUGAAAAUACUGUAUAAGACAUGCGAUUAAACUUGCCAUCAAAUCAUUUUUCCAUGUUUCUUCAAAGGAUUAACUACUUGUUUCAGUGUUGCUGGUCUAAAUGGAAACACUUUGUUCAAAGACAAAGUUGCCACUUACAUUUUAGUUGUUCUCAAUCCUGUGAACUACCGCAAGAUUAUUUCGAAGUGGUCUCUAUUUGGCUGUAACUCGUCAGUCUUCACCUAAGCAGCUGAUGCAAUAAACCUCAUGGCAGCGUGUGGUUGAGAUUUUUUGCCUCAGGUGUUACAAAGGCCUUUAACUGUCGCAUUCAUCAUUAGGAUAUAUCUAGAAUACAUCUGUAGCCCUAUUGCUUCAAAGUGGUUUGAUGUAGUGGUGGGAUGUAUGGUUACGGAUCGGUUUUCAAUUCUGUCAUAUCUCCUUGAUUCUGGUUCCCAUGGUAACAUGCACGUUCUGUACGACACCUGCUUUUUGCACGCACACACACACACACACACAGACACACAUUCCUUCAUGGCUUUUUGUGAUGUUAAAGACUGUAGUGCAUGACUUUGUUACUCUUACUGCUCUUCCAGCCACGUUUUCCCUUCUCGCUAAUUAUUACAGCUAAAAUGGCUCCUGGGCCCCUGGACGCCAUGUUGCGUGUGACGGGGGGAAGAGAAUUAGUCGCGCAAUGCCGUGGACGCAGUCCCCACCAAGGUAAAGCCCUCAGUCCCCGACCACGCCUGCACUUCGACCACACACUUCCCUCAUUGAACCCAUUCCUCCUGCACGACGAGGCACCCCAUCCUAUAAUUUUUUUGAGGUCUGUAAUUCUGGAGCCCAAUAAGACGUAAGGCCUGAAGAUGUCUGGCCAUAUCCAGUGUCUUGGUGAGGUGACUCUGCCCUCGUUUGAGUCCCAGUAUUGGGUAUAUCCAGGCACAUAGACUAUCUAGCCUUCGCAGACCCGUCUGACCUCGGUCAGGUUUCCUGUUAGAUAUGUCUGGAAAUAUCCAGCCUUUCCAUGGCUCUUUCUGAUGCCAUGUUCCAUAAGGGAAUUAGUCCAAUCACCCACUGUAGUCAGGGAUUUUUAUUUUCUUUGGUCCUGUUGAUGAAUUGUUUAGCCAAAUUGAAAUGAACUACAACGAUAUAAUGUCAACCAAUAAAUCCCUGACAGAUUUUCUUUGGGACGGGGGGGCUGUACUGAAACAAUUCUAGGAAAACCAUCCUGUUGUGAUUGAGGGUGACUAGAUUGGGCUAUUCUGGAUUUGUUGCGUAUGCUUGUGUUGUGGCAUAUUUCUCUGAGGUAUUUCCAGUGAGACAAGACUUGAAUUCACUCUCAAAACUGAGGUGUUCCAGCUGUGCUUUGAACGGCUAAGGACCCAGUGGCACGCUAAGGGCCAGAUGAACGGAGGGGAGGUAGGGCUAUCGACCUCAGUCCCCCGCAUGCUGGGUGAGUAACAAAUGCACCACCAACCGGCUCAAAUCCACCCACCCCCCCUCCUUCAGUCGGCAACACAACGUCCACCCCUCUCUGAUUCCAUAGCCACUAGAUCUACAGGCCCACAUUACCUAGACAAAGCUGUCCACAGCUGCGUUAGCUUAGAAGAUGUGGACAUGAAGAGGACAACUUUCGUCAUUCUCCUUUUCCCUGUCUAGUAACAUGAAACAUUUACAUCAAUCUUGUAGCGAACUUUGAAUGGGAACCAUAAUGUUACGUGAUUCAUUGAUUUUGUUUUGGUCUGUGGAACAGGCAGCCCGAUUCAGAUGUUUGUCUUUUAGUUGGAUUUUAAACCGAUCGUAUAUCUGGCCAAUUUGUUGGACAAAAGAUCUGAAUGGGGCUUCAUAUACUCUAAAAAGGCCACAAUAUUUUUAGUGAACACUUUGGAUUGCUGUUUUUCAGACUUCAGUGGCCUACCUCUAUGAAUGAGGGCUGGGUGCUGGACCAUAGCUGGACUGUAUUGGCCUACGAUACACUGCACAGUUUAUAACAAUGUUCCCCUUUUCACCUCUUACAUUCUGCACAAUCAGAACUAAUCACAUACUAAUAAAUCCAGUUCCCCCUUCCGCAAUCUUUUGUGCAACUUCUGAAAAUAUAUUCGACACACUUGAGCUCACGGAUUUAGACAAGUUGUAGGUAAGAUCAAGGCCUCAUUAGAAACCAGUGGAAAACGGCAGGUGGCCGAUUGGAUAACAAUGUAUUUGAAAGAUCGCCUGGAUUCUUAAUUGAGGAUGUUUUCAUUUUUGUCAAAUUAGUUUCAAUUCUCAGACAAUUGUACUCUGUUCUUUGUAAGACUUAAUAAAUGACAUUGAAACAAAUUGGUUGUGGAUAGCCUACUUUUUAAUGGGCAC